rnacentral:RNase_P_RNA from 1 species
ACAAAGGGAGGAAAGUCCGGGCUCCGCAGGGCAGGGUGCCAGGUAACUCCUGGGAGGCGUGAGCCUACGGAAAGUGCCACAGAAAAUAUACCGCCUAUUUGUUGUUCACAGCAGGUAGGUAAGGGUGAAAUGGUGUGGUAAGAGCGCACCGCACGAUUGGUAACAGUCGUGGCAGGGAAAACCCCACCCGGAGCAAGACCAAAUAGGAAUCCUUCGUGCUGCGAUGCACGAACGUAUGGCCCGUACGGGAUUCGGGUAGGUCGCUUGAGGCAUGUGGUGACGCAUGUCCCAGAUGAAUGGUUGUCCAAG